UCAAAGCCCACGAGAAUGAGAGACAAUCAAAAGGUGUUUCGAUGGUGUCUAUGCUCAGAGAAAAACAUAUCUUGAGCAUAUUGCUUGUGGUAUAAUCUGGCCCAAAUAUAGUAAGUAAUAAGUAACUCUCGGUUCAGCCUAUUGUGGGAGGGGGAAUUAUUGAGUAAA